rnacentral:rRNA from 1 species
AGAGUUUGAUCCUGGCUCAGGAUGAAUUUUGGCGGCGUGCCUAACACAUGCAAGUCGAACGAUGAAACCGCCCUCGGGCGGACAUGAAGUGGCGAACGGGUGAGUAACACGUGACCAACCUGCCCCUUGCUCCGGGACAACCUUGGGAAACCGAGGCUAAUACCGGAUACUCCUCGCCCCCCUCCUGGGGGGCCCGGGAAAGCCCAGACGGCAAGGGAUGGGGUCGCGGCCCAUUAGGUAGUAGGCGGGGUAACGGCCCACCUAGCCCGCGAUGGGUAGCCGGGUUGAGAGACCGACCGGCCACAUUGGGACUGAGAUACGGCCCAGACUCCUACGGGAGGCAGCAGUGGGGAAUUUUGCGCAAUGGGGGAAACCCUGACGCAGCAACGCCGCGUGCGGGACGACGGCCUUCGGGUUGUAAACCGCUUUCAGCAGGGAAGAAAUUCGACGGUACCUGCAGAAGAAGCUCCGGCUAACUACGUGCCAGCAGCCGCGGUAAUACGUAGGGAGCGAGCGUUAUCCGGAUUCAUUGGGCGUAAAGCGCGCGUAGGCGGCCCGGCAGGCCGGGGGUCGAAGCGGGGGGCUCAACCCCCCGAAGCCCCCGGAACCUCCGCGGCUUGGGUCCGGUAGGGGAGGGUGGAACACCCGGUGUAGCGGUGGAAUGCGCAGAUAUCGGGUGGAACACCGGUGGCGAAGGCGGCCCUCUGGGCCGAGACCGACGCUGAGGCGCGAAAGCUGGGGGAGCGAACAGGAUUAGAUACCCUGGUAGUCCCAGCCGUAAACGAUGGACGCUAGGUGUGGGGGGACGAUCCCCCCGUGCCGCAGCCAACGCAUUAAGCGUCCCGCCUGGGGAGUACGGCCGCAAGGCUAAAAACUCAAAGGAAUUGACGGGGGCCCGCACAAGCAGCGGAGCAUGUGGCUUAAUUCGAAGCAACGCGAAGAACCUUACCAGGGCUUGACAUAUGGGUGAAGCGGGGGAGACCCCGUGGCCGAGAGGGAGCCCAUACAGGUGGUGCAUGGCUGUCGUCAGCUCGUGUCGUGAGAUGUUGGGUUAAGUCCCGCAACGAGCGCAACCCCCGCCGCGUGUUGCCAUCGGGUGAUGCCGGGAACCCACGCGGGACCGCCGCCGUCAAGGCGGAGGAGGGCGGGGACGACGUCAAGUCAUCAUGCCCCUUAUGCCCUGGGCUGCACACGUGCUACAAUGGCCGGUACAGAGGGAUGCCACCCCGCGAGGGGGAGCGGAUCCCGGAAAGCCGGCCCCAGUUCGGAUUGGGGGCUGCAACCCGCCCCCAUGAAGUCGGAGUUGCUAGUAAUCGCGGAUCAGCAUGCCGCGGUGAAUGCGUUCCCGGGC